UACAGAGGUCCCAAGCGUUGUUCGGAUUCACUGGGCGUAAAGGGUGCGCAGGCGGUUGUGUGUGUCAGGUGUGAAAGCCCGGGGCUUAACCCCGGAAUUGCGCCUGAAACUACAUGACUAGAGCAUUGGAGAGGGUAGCGGAAUUCACGGUGUAGCAGUGAAAUGCGUAGAUAUCGUGAGGAACACCGGAGGCGAAGGCGGCUACCUGGACAAUUGCUGACGCUCAGGCACGAAAGCGUGGGGAGCAAAAGGG
rnacentral:rRNA from 1 species